rnacentral:rRNA from 1 species
UACGUAGGGGACUAGCGUUGUUCGGAAUUACUGGGCGUAAAGCGCACGUAGGCGGCGACUCAAGUCAGAGGUGAAAGCCCGGGGCUCAACCCCGGAACUGCCUUUGAAACUAGGUCGCUGAGAUCUUGGAGAGGUCAGUGGAAUUCCGAGUGUAGAGGUGAAAUUCGUAGAUAUUCGGAAGAACACCAGUGGCGAAGGCGACUGACUGGACAAGUAUUGACGCUGAGGUGCGAAAGCGUGGGGAGCAAACAGGG